UACAGAGGGGGCAAGCGUUAUUCGGAAUUAUUGGGCGUAAAGGGUGCGUAGGCGGUCGGGUAAGUCUGAUGUGAAAUCUCACAGCUUAACUGUGAAACUGCAUUGGAUACUAUCCGGCUAGAGGAAUGGAGGGGAGACUGGAAUACUUGGUGUAGCAGUGAAAUGCGUAGAUAUCAAGUGGAACACCAGUGGCGAAGGCGAGUCCCUGGACAUUUCCUGACGCUGAGGCACGAAAGCCAGGGGAGCAAACGGG
rnacentral:rRNA from 1 species